rnacentral:lncRNA from 1 species
GGUUUAACUCAAAUAAAAUUUCAAAUGUGAGGUGUUCCACGUGUUCGAGAUCAAUCAUCCAUCUGGGUGAAUGAGGUGGUAGGCCCAUUGUCGAGUGCUUCCACGACUUUGAAGGGUCCUUCCCACUUGGUUCCCAACUUGCCAUGAGAGCGCGUCCAUCGUGUCUCGCCCAUUUUUCUCCACACUAGGUCUCCUUCCUGGAAGCUUCGAGGUCGCACCUUCAUAUUAUACCUUCUCUCCACCAUCCUCUUGCAUGCCUCCACC